GUUGUAUUGCCUGGAAAGGAAACGCAGAAAUAGUUCCAAAUUGGAAAGGAGUUGGGUGGAGCAGUCGAAUGACCUGUCACAGCGACCUGCCAUUCUGCAGUUUAUAGGCAGCCCCUUUGCCUUAGAAGAUCUAAGAAUUUCCAUCCACAUGACAAAUCAGGUCCAGAAUUGGCUUUGCCGGACCAGAGGAUGCAGAAGUCUGGGGAGGCUCCCAGCCAGCACUAGGCUUGGCACUGCUAUGCCACGGCCACUUAGGGCUGGGAGGCUGUGCCACAGUUUCAGGGACACCAGGUUUGAUGGAGGGCGUAGGGGGAAGAAUUCAGUCAAUGACCUCAACCCCUUCAGUAAGAAAGGGUCUUUUCACUCAGCCAUCAUCAUUUAAUACUUUCAUUAACACAGAGAAGCAGCAUGUUGGCAGGCACCAGACUGGCGUGGUUUCUCUUGUGUGCAAAUUGUGAUGCUGCCUGCCUGCUUGGUGUGCAUCUCCUUGUUCCUGGUGUGGGGCCAGGAGCCUUCACCACAAGGUUGGGCAUGGUCCGACCAUGCUGAUGCAGCAUGGCCAGUGGCAAGUCAGCAGACGUGUGCCAGACCAGGCCUGGGGCCUUGCUGGUGAGCACAAAGUAGGCACCACUGGUUUGGGUUUCCUCAGUGGGAAGGCAGAAAUGGGAGGAGACGAGAUAGCUCUUGACAGUGAGAGGGAGAUAGAGGUGCCUGCAUCUGGGAAAAAAUAGCCACUUUUGCAAGAAUGAGUGGUUAAAAAAAAAAACAAACAAAAAAUAAGUAUUUUCAAUAUAUUACAAACAAAAUUAUCUGCCAAAAGGGCAAGAUAAUUAUCUCAAUGUGAUUUUUGACCAAGAUAAAUUUAUCUUAUUUUAUAAACUGGGUAACAAUUUGAAUCUUAUGCAAAACCUAGAAAUAAAUCUAAAAAAUAUGCUAAUGUAAUAAAAUCGAAAUUAUUAGCACUCCAAGUGCCAUACUUGAGGCAGUAAAACCUUUUAAGUUCCAAUGGAAAAUAGGCUAGUAAAACUGGAGUAAGUUACUCUACUUUAAUCACUUGAUAAAUAGCUACAAUGUUUGGAAGAAUUGAUAGUGUCAUUA
rnacentral:lncRNA from 1 species